GACGAACGCUGGCGGCGUGCUUAACACAUGCAAGUCGAACGGUGAAGCCCUUCGGGGUGGAUCAGUGGCGAACGGGUGAGUAACACGUGAGCAACCUACCCUUGACUCUGGGAUAACUCCGGGAAACCGGUGCUAAUACCGGAUACGACCUUCGGCCUCAUGGUCUGUUGGUGGAAAGAAUUUUGGUCAGGGAUGGGCUCGCGGCCUAUCAGCUUGUUGGUGAGGUAAUGGCUCACCAAGGCGACGACGGGUAGCCGGCCUGAGAGGGCGACCGGCCACACUGGGACUGAGACACGGCCCAGACUCCUACGGGAGGCAGCAGUGGGGAAUAUUGCACAAUGGGCGAAAGCCUGAUGCAGCGACGCCGCGUGAGGGAUGACGGCCUUCGGGUUGUAAACCUCUUUCAGCUCCGAAGAAGCGAAAGUGACGGUAGGAGCAGAAGAAGCACCGGCUAACUACGUGCCAGCCGCCGCCGUAACAC
rnacentral:rRNA from 1 species